rnacentral:rRNA from 1 species
AUUGAACGCUGGCGGCAGGCCUAACACAUGCAAGUCGAACGGUAACAGGGAUCAGCUUGCUGAUUCGCUGACGAGUGGCGGACGGGUGAGUAAUGUCUGGGAAACUGCCUGAUGGAGGGGGAUAACUACUGGAAACGGUAGCUAAUACCGCAUAAUGUCGCAAGACCAAAGAGGGGGACCUUCGGGCCUCUUGCCAUCGGAUGUGCCCAGAUGGGAUUAGCUAGUAGGUGGGGUAACGGCUCACCUAGGCGACGAUCCCUAGCUGGUCUGAGAGGAUGACCAGCCACACUGGAACUGAGACACGGUCCAGACUCCUACGGGAGGCAGCAGUGGGGAAUAUUGCACAAUGGGCGCAAGCCUGAUGCAGCCAUGCCGCGUGUAUGAAGAAGGCCUUCGGGUUGUAAAGUACUUUCAGCGGGGAGGAAGGGAGUAAAGUUAAUACCUUGGCUCAUUGACGUUACCCGCAGAAGAAGCACCGGCUAACUCCGUG